GGUAGAAUUGCUGGGUCAUAUGGUAAUUCUGUGUUUAAUUUUUUGAGGAACUGCCAAACUGUUUUCCACAGUGGUUGUGCCAUUUUAUAUCCCACCAGCAAU
rnacentral:pre_miRNA from 1 species